AAUAAACGCUGGCGGCGUGCCUAACACAUGCAAGUCGGACGAGAAAGGCUAAUUUUCGGAUUGGCCGAGUAAAGUGGCGCACGGGUGAGUAACGCGUAGGUAACCUGCCCUUGUAUUUGGGAUAACAGAGCGAAAGUUCUGCUAAUACCGGAUGUGUCCCGUAUGCGGUGGCAUAUGGGAGAAAGUCGGCCUCUUCGUGAAAGCUGACGUACAGGGAUGGGCCUGCGUCCUAUCAGCUAGUUGGUGGGGUAAAGGCCCACCAAGGCGACGACGGGUAGCUGGUCUGAGAGGAUGAUCAGCCACACGGGCACUGGAAGACGGGCCAGACUCCUACGGGAGGCAGCAGUGAGGAAUUUUGCGCAAUGGCCGCAAGGCUGACGCAGCAACGCCGCGUGGGUGAAGAAGGCCUUCGGGUCGUAAAGCCCUGUCAGGUGGGAAGAAAGGUUUCGUCAAGAAACGGAUGGGAUUUGACGGUGCCACUAGAGGAAGCACCGGCUAACUCCGUGCCAGCCGCCGCAGUAA
rnacentral:rRNA from 1 species